GUAUGAGUUGAUACGAAUUGAAAUAACCACGUGUUUCCGCUAUGGCAGCAGUAAACAACAUGAUGGCGAUCCGAAAUCUGAACGUCAAUUUUCAUGAUUAUUUCACGACGAAGAUCAUCACAUCAAUGAAUCAAAUAAUACGGACAUGCCUUUAGUAUUAGCAGGGUGCUGGCACCAUAUGCAACAAUACUUUCAUCUGUGAAUACCCACUUGCUAAGCCCACCAUGAACUACGAAGGCCAAUUAAUAUGUAAGGACACCAAUGAACAGACACUUUCCAAUUAUCGUACAUCAUAUACAUGGGUGGUCAAACUCACUGGAUGGUUUAUCAACACUCCCAUGCUCACGAACAGCCUUGCCCCAGGAAUUUUGCCCUAAAGUAACAUUGCAGUCUAUUGUCUCCUUUCUUUUUACAACCCUGGCAGCCAUGCAGGAUAGAAGCUGAUCACUUGUACUUGACAGCAAAUAAUAUCUUGUACAAGUCAAAGAAUUUCCUCCAGUCUUACAGAGAAAUGACAGUUGAUAAAAGAAUGGUGGACACAAAGUAAAAGUGCUCUGCAACAUUUUGUUGAAGAUUUCAGUCUGAUUUGGAAUUCAUCUUGCAAUAUUUCUGGAUUUGUAUAUUUGGAUAUAAACGUCACAUUUUCAACUUAUUGACUAGACAGUUUUGCGUUAAAUAUUGCCAAUGCUAUCUAUUAUUAUUAUUUCCCUCCAAGACAACAUGUCAUGUCUUGAUUGUACCCCUUAAGCUCUGUUAUACCAGAAAAAUCUUGUAAUGAAAUCAUUAAGUUUAUUUUUUCUUGUUAGAUUAAAUCCAUGAAAAUAAAGAUUAUUUUUAAUGGCAUCAAGAGAAUGGAUUUUUUUUGUUUAACAAAAAGAUUGUAUACAUGUUUUGCUAGGGGUUUGUAAGAAGCAGACCAGAAUUCUUUGUUGGAAAUUUUGUCUUUUGCCAUUUUUAUCACGUCAACUAUUAGAUGAUUUAUCCAUGAUUGAAGCAUUUCAAAAUUGAUAUUUACUUACAAUUUAAAGCAGAAUUCUGAACUGAUAUGACCUU